GGGAGGGAGGUAGAGAGAGAGGGAGGGAGGGAGGGAGUGAGGGAGGGAGGGGAGGGAGAGAUGGAAAGAGAGGUGAAGUUUGGGGGUUUAUUGCAUAUUUCAGACAGGCUGGGGAGUGAGACAGGCGAGGGAGAGAGGGAGGAGAGGGUUAACCAAGGGUUAAUAAGGGAGGAGAGGAGAGGAGAGGAGAGGAGAGGUCUGAGGGGUUAGGGGGUCUGUCUCUGUAGCAGCAGGUCAGUAUCAUCAUCAUCAUCAUCAUCACAGUAAAUAAAUAAAAUAAUCAUCAGAGACUCAAUACCAUCACACACACACACACACACACACACACACACACACACACACACACACACACACAGACAGACAGACAGACAGACAGACAGACAGACAGACAGACAGACAGACAGACAGACAGACAGACAGACAGACAGACAGACAGACAGACAGACAGACAGACAACCCAGUGGUUAAACAUGAACAUUAAUGAAUCGAUCAAUCAGCUUUCAGCUCAGAUGGUCUCUGAUUGGCUCCUCCUGUACAGAGUCUGCGUGUGAUUGGUUGUUUCUGAAGAGUGACAUCAUAAAACCCAAGGAUAAAAAACGUUUCUUCAAAACCACGGUAACCACGGUAACAAACCCGGAUCACGGUAACCACGGUAACAAACCCGGCCGAGAUCGGGAUGGGAGGGGCAAAGGUGGUAUUGUCCUGUGAUUGGUCAAUAGUAGUUCUGUAGGGACGGGGUUAUUGCAGGGUGAUGUGUGUGUGUGUGUGUGUGUGUGUGUGUGUGUGUGUGUUGUGUGUGUGUGUGUGUGUGUGUGUGUGUGUGUCUG
rnacentral:lncRNA from 1 species